GCGGCUUUCAAGACGUGGAAUGUUGAGGUGUCGAAUUCUACCGAACUUUACGUUGUGAAUGCCAAGUUGACCUUGUCUAGAGGAGCAUUAGUGGAAAAAAACAGGGUAGCCCUGAAACAAUAGGAUGACGUCACGACCAAUGAGAAUGGCCUGCAGGGGGCGCAAGGAUUCACUUCUCUCUUGGACACUGACGGGUCUGGACACGCAAAUUCUGCUCCUGGCGUUGACCGUCAGUGGAAGAGCGUAGCUUCUGUGGGGUUCUGUCUGCCUCUGAUCGGGUGCGGAUGUGUGGUUCGUCACUGGUGAAUGGUGUUCGACGAUGCAGGUGGAUUUUGUGACGAGCGGAUUUACAAUGAGGGAAUGCUGUGAACGGGAAAAAUGAUGAGCUGUCCUAACUUGCCCAGACAUGCCAUGAUGACGUCACAGGAUGUCCGGAACUGGUGUUCAUAGCUGCGAUGCUUUGCAACCUGCCUCCGUCGCCCAGCGACAGUCAGCGGCCGUUCCGGACCGCUUUCUUCAAGAUGGCGUCGUUGAUAUUCAACUAAACUCCUUCUCUCCACUCUAUCUCUAUCUUUUUAUUUUAUUUUCUACGUAUUUUUGUAUUUUUUAUCAGCUCAACUAGCCCACAACUCACACAGUGGUCUGCACACGUCCUAGAUUCUCCCCAAUUAGUGUAAUGACUCCCUGAAUUAUCCUAAUUACUGUGGGGGCCCCAAAUUUCUCUAAUUGCUCAUUAAUGGCGUCCAGACCACUGUGUGAGUUGUGGGCCAGUUGAGCUGAUCCCAUACUACUUCUAUACAGGUAAACACUUCUUUGAGAGAUAACCGCUCUUUAUUACUGCCUGUACUGUACUAGCAUGGGUCUCUGUUUGCAGUGCUUUGCGUUGGCUAUUAUGUGAUGUAAUGCAAUUGAAUACAUCUAAUCACUUCAUAACCACGGCUCCUUUGGCAGUUCUAACCAUACCACGUUUGUGAUAUGAUAAGACGUCGGUCUGUUCCUCCCUCAAAAUAUCUCGACUCAAAGAUGACUGAAAAACGAGGGCGUUUGAAAAAAAGACUCCUGUAACCGUGUAUUCACACGAGCGACAUCCUCACGGAAUAUUCUAGUGGAAGAAAAAGCGAAAACACUGCUCACAGAGCCGAAUUUCCGUCCCGUGUUGAGCAUUCACACGGUGCGGAAUAUAUCGGGAGUGGCGUAGUGCGCGUUUAGCAGACGACACCAUCAGCGUGCUUAGCAGACGACACCAUCAGCGUGUUUGCCUGUCGUCUGCUACGGAAUAUCUUGUGACUGCGUAGCAGGAUAUUCCCCACGGUUAGCAGUGUACGUGAAGACACGACGUUGAGCACUCGCGCUCACGCGGCAGCAGAAAGCUACGACAGUUUUUGCAUCUUCCGCUUCUGGGGGAAUGUCGCUCGUGUGAAUACACGGUAAUAGUAUCCAUUUAUCGUCAGAAAAGCGUAUUUUCAGCGUCAACGUCAAAGUUUUAGAAGCCUAACCUUAAAUGCUAAACUCGCAACUCAUUUUUCACACGAGACAGUUCAUGUUCUGAGGCUGGAACACAUGUCUAGAAGGACAAACACAAACGUGUUCAUCAUUUCUUUAAUCAUUUUUCACUUUCACACGGAGGAAGCGAGGUUUCUACCGAAACUAUUUCUGAGGACUUCAAACAAACGAGCUCUCUUAUUCUC